rnacentral:rRNA from 1 species
ACUUGGAUAACUGUAGUAAUUCUAGAGCUAAUACAUGCCAAAAUGCCCUGACUUCGGGAAGGGUGGAUUUAUUAGAACAAAACCAACCGGCUUCGGCUGUUGGCUUGAUGACUCUGGAUAACUUUUCUGAUCGCAUGGCCUUGUGCCAGCGACGUAUCUUUCAAAUGUCUGCCCUAUCAACUAUCGAUGGUAGGUGAUAUGCCUACCAUGGUUAUGACGGGUAACGGGGAAUCAGGGUUCGAUUCCGGAGAGGGAGCCUUAGAAAUGGCUACCACAUCUAAGGAAGGCAGCAGGCGCGCAAAUUACCCACUCUCAGCUAGAGGAGGUAGUGACGAAAAAUAACGAUGCGGGACUCCUAUGAGGCUCCGCAAUUGGAAUGAGUACAAUUUAAAUCCUUUAACGAGGAACAAUUGGAGGGCAAGUCUGGUGCCAGCAGCCGCGGUAACUCCAGCUCCAAUAGCGUAUAUUAAAGUUGCUGCAGUUAAAAAGCUCGUAGUUGGAUCUCAGGUACGGAGCUAGUGGUUGGCUUUAGCCGAACCAUUAGUUUCCGCCUCACUAGCUGUAUGUUAUCUUGUGUGCUCUUCACUGUGUGCACAAGAUACUCAGCACGUUUACUUUGAAAAAAUUAGAGUGCUCAAAGCAGGCCUUGUGCUUGAAUACUGUUGCAUGGAAUAAUGGAAUAGGACUUCGGUUCUAUUUUGUUGGUUUUCGGAAUCGAAGUAAUGAUUAAAAGAGACAGACGGGGGCAUCUGUAUGGUGGUGUUAGAGGUGAAAUUCGAUGAUCGCCGCCAGACAAACAACUGCGAAAGCAUUUGCCAAGGAUGUUUUCAUUAAUCAAGAACGAAAGUCAGAGGUUCGAAGACGAUCAGAUACCGUCCUAGUUCUGACCAUAAACGAUGCCAACUGACAAUCGGAGUUUAUUAUUAUUUUUCACUCCGGCAGUCCCUGGGAAACCUUUAAGUCUAUCGGUUCUGGGGGGAGUAUGGUUGCAAAUCCGAAACUUAAAGGAAUUGACGGAAGGGCACCACCAGGUGUGGAGCCUGCGGCUUAAUUUGACCCAACACGGGAAAACUCACCCGGCCCGGACACUGUGAGGAUUGACAGAUUGAUAGCUCUUUCUUGAUUCAGUGGGUGGUGGUGCAUGGCCGUUCUUAGUUGGUGGAGUGAUUUGUCUGGUUAAUUCCGAUAACGAACGAGACUCUAGCCUGCUAAAUAGUCACCACGUGAUAAUUGCGUGGACUGACUUCUUAGAGGGAUUCGCUACGUUUAGUGGCACGAAAUUGAGCAAUAACAGGUCUGUGAUGCCCUUAGAUGUUCGGGGCCGCACGUGCGCUACACUGACGA